CAAUAUGUAUUUUUAACUUUGACCCAUUAAUAACAAUAACAAUACGAUAAAUAGCCUGAGGACGCACUGGUGGAUUUAUGUAUUAGAUAUAGCCUUGAUACACACCCUACCAGUGCAGAAACACAUGUAGCAUUGAUUAGAAAUACCUUCUUUCCCCACAGAUUAAUAACAGUGUGAGUUUCUUCCUCUGGCAUACAAAUCCUCAAAAUUUCGAAGACAUUUUCAAAAUUUUGUAAACAUUAACAAGGAUUUUGAAAAAAAAAAAUGGGAAAAAAAGACCUGACAAGCUGAAGGAGAUUUGGCUGCACCAUCAAGUAAAUCUAUAGUGUUGCACAGCAGGACUGAACCUGAGACUACAAGGUUGGAAAGCAAACUUCUUAACCACACAAACAUGUCUGCAGUGCAGCUUAUAAUAACAUAUAUAAUAAUUUUAACCAGUAAAGACUUGACCUGAUGAAAUUAAAACACUGUUACCAAAAAUCAAUCCAAUGUGAAUUUAAGGAGCCAAGUCUUGAGCAACAUGACAAAAAUAACCAUUCUACUGUUAGAACCAUCUCUGCCCUGCUUAUUAAUACUUGCACCAAUGUCUGAUGAAAUCCUCCUUCCACAGCAUGAACAAUGGACUUUAAAGACAUUCAAAAGUUUCUUUGAACUGAAUUCUAAAACUUUAUUAUUUCAAAUUAAUUAAAAUUUACUUCAAAUUUGAAUUGGUAUGUGGUUCAAGUGCUGAUCUAUGAAGGGCACCUUGAAAUAAAAUCAAAAUAGACCACUUGUC